rnacentral:rRNA from 1 species
GACGAACGCUGGCGGCGUGCCUAAUACAUGCAAGUCGAGCGAGCGGAACUAACAGAUUUACUUCGGUAAUGACGUUAGGAAAGCGAGCGGCGGAUGGGUGAGUAACACGUGGGGAACCUGCCCCAUAGUCUGGGAUACCACUUGGAAACAGGUGCUAAUACCGGAUAAGAAAGCAGAUCGCAUGAUCAGCUUUUAAAAGGCGGCGUAAGCUGUCGCUAUGGGAUGGCCCCGCGGUGCAUUAGCUAGUUGGUAAGGUAAAGGCUUACCAAGGCGAUGAUGCAUAGCCGAGUUGAGAGACUGAUCGGCCACAUUGGGACUGAGACACGGCCCAAACUCCUACGGGAGGCAGCAGUAGGGAAUCUUCCACAAUGGACGCAAGUCUGAUGGAGCAACGCCGCGUGAGUGAAGAAGGUUUUCGGAUCGUAAAGCUCUGUUGUUGGUGAAGAAGGAUAGAGGUAGUAACUGGCCUUUAUUUGACGGUAAUCAACCAGAAAGUCACGGCUAACUACGUGCCAGCAGCCGCGGUAAUACGUAGGAGGCAAGCGUUGUCCGGAUUUAUUGGGCGCAAAGCGAGCGCAGGCGGAAGAAUAAGUCUGAUGUGAAAGCCCUCGGCUUAACCGAGGAACUGCAUCGGAAACUGUUUUUCUUGAGUGCAGAAGAGGAGAGUGGAACUCCAUGUGUAGCGGUGGAAUGCGUAGAUAUAUGGAAGAACACCAGUGGCGAAGGCGGCUCUCUGGUCUGCAACUGACGCUGAGGCUCGAAAGCAUGGGUAGCGAACAGGAUUAGAUACCCUGGUAGUCCAUGCCGUAAACGAUGAGUGCUAAGUGCUGGGAGGUUUCCGCCUCUCAGUGCUGCAGCUAACGCAUUAAGCACUCCGCCUGGGGAGUACGACCGCAAGGUUGAAACUCAAAGGAAUUGACGGGGGCCCGCACAAGCGGUGGAGCAUGUGGUUUAAUUCGAAGCAACGCGAAGAACCUUACCAGGUCUUGACAUCUAGUGCCAUUUGUAGAGAUACAAAGUUCCCUUCGGGGACGCUAAGACAGGUGGUGCAUGGCUGUCGUCAGCUCGUGUCGUGAGAUGUUGGGUUAAGUCCCGCAACGAGCGCAACCCUUGUUAUUAGUUGCCAGCAUUAAGUUGGGCACUCUAAUGAGACUGCCGGUGACAAACCGGAGGAAGGUGGGGAUGACGUCAAGUCAUCAUGCCCCUUAUGACCUGGGCUACACACGUGCUACAAUGGGCAGUACAACGAGAAGCGAGCCUGCGAAGGCAAGCGAAUCUCUGAAAGCUGUUCUCAGUUCGGACUGCAGUCUGCAACUCGACUGCACGAAGCUGGAAUCGCUAGUAAUCGCGGAUCAGCACGCCGCGGUGAAUACGUUCCCGGGCCU